CAGUACAGGUUUUAAUAAAUAACAUGAACACGCAGGUGAAACCAACCAAAAUGAACACGUAUGUUCAUUCAGAGUGAAUCUGACAUGAAGAACAGAGAGAGAGAGAAAAGACAACAUGUUAUCUCUCUCUCUCUCUCUAGCAAGGAGGGAGGGAGGGAGAAGGUGAAGGAAAGAAAGGAGGAGUUUUGUCUUAUCAGGAGAAGUGAAAGUGAAAUGAAUCUCUAGAGUAUUUAAAGAGGAAGUCCGGACUCCCCGAGCUGUUGGGAGGACGGGACCGCAGAGGCGGGACACGCUGCUCGGAGAUGUCGCUGUGCUGUCCAGAGCUGAGUCCGGACCCUUUGUAUUGGUGGGUGGGAUUGUAACGGAACCCAUAAUGCAGCUGUGACUCUGGACUCCAGCUGGUUAUGGCGUCCGUUUCCAUCCCACAACGCACAGGAGCUUCUCAGCAGACGGAGAGUGAGCAGGACCUCCUCCCUCCAACUGCUUUUACUCUGUUUAUAAGUCAGCUUGAAGAACAACUUUGGAUUAUUUCAGCUGAAAACUUUAUUGGUCCUUUAAAAGGGAAAAAAAACAAAACAAUAAUAUAUUAAAAAUGGUAAAACACUGGUAACAAUAUAAGACAGUAUAAAAGUAUCUGCAAUAUGAGUACACAUCCCAGCUGACAAACCAGUCAGUUUGUCACGCAUGUAGUGCCCUCGUUCAGAGAGCUCGCCACUGGUCCAUUUACAAUGGGACUUCAUACUUUAUAUUAAAAAAUCAAUCAAAUAAAAAAGUGAAACAAACUAAAUGAAGGCAGUUAGAUGCUGUGCUGCCAUUUUGGAAAAUGACUGAAUUUCGGUCCGAGGCCUGAGGCGACCGUCUGGGGCAGCAGGUGUUUUUCCUCAAUGACACGUUUUCUCCCGGAUUGCUGACGACAGGAAAGCGCAACCGGGAAUUUCGUGUCAGCCAAGAAGGACACGUUCAACGUCCAGCGACUCAAGAGCUCACUGCUGAAUUAUUCCAGAUUCUAAGUUUGUCAAGUGUACCACUACAUUUUUACUAUGCAACUGUCGGGUAUUGUUGUCUAAUAAAUCUCUGAAUUUUAAA